CCUACGGGAGGCAGCAGUGAGGAAUAUUGGUCAAUGGACGAGAGUCUGAACCAGCCAAGUCGCGUGAAGGAUGACUGCCCUAUGGGUUGUAAACUUCUUUUAUAUGGGAAUAAAACGUUCCACGUGUGGGAUUUUGUAUGUACCAUAUGAAUAAGGAUCGGCUAACUCCGUGCCAGCAGCCGCGGUAAUACAGAGGAUCCGAGCGUUAUCCGGAUUCAUUGGGUUUAAAGGGAGCGUAGGUGGAUUGUUAAGUCAGUUGUGAAAGUUUGCGGCUCAACCGUAAAAUUGCAGUUGAAACUGGCAGUCUUGAGUACAGUAGAGGUAGGCGGAAUGCGUGGUGUAGCGGUGAAAUGCUUAGAUAUCACGAAGAACUCCGAUUGCGAAGGCAGUUCACUGGACUGCAACUGACACUGAGGCACGAAAGUGUGGGUAUCAAACAGGAUUAGAUACCCGAGUAGUC
rnacentral:rRNA from 1 species